GGGCUUAGUGGCGGACGGGUGAGUAACGCGUGAGAAUCUACCUUCGAGAUGGGGACAACCGUUGGAAACGACGGCUAAUCCCCAAUAAGCCGAAAGGUGAAAGGGUUUCCGCUCGCAGAGGAGCUCGCGUCCGAUUAGUUAGUUGGUGGGGUAAGAGCCUACCAAGGCAGCGAUCGGUAGCUGGUCUGAGAGGAUGAGCAGCCACACUGGGACUGAGACACGGCCCAGACUCCUACGGGAGGCAGCAGUGGGGAAUUUUCCGCAAUGGGCGCAAGCCUGACGGAGCAACGCCGCGUGUGGGAAGAAGGCUCUUGGGCUGUCAACCACUUUUCUCAGGGAAGAAGUCCUGACGGUACCUGAGGAAUCAGCCUCGGCUAACUCCGUGCCAGCAGCCGCGGUAAUACGGAGGAGGCAAGCGUUAUCCGGAAUUAUUGGGCGUAAAGCGUCCGCAGGGGGCACUUCAAGUCUGCUGUCAAAGGUCGGAGCUUAACUCCGGUUCGGCAGCGGAAACUGGAGUGCUAGAGGGCGACAGGGGUAGAGGGAAUUCCCAGUGUAGCGGUGAAAUGCGUAGAGAUUGGGAAGAACACCGGUGGCGAAAGCGCUCUACUGGGUCGCACCUGACCCUCAGGGACGAAAGCUAAGGUAGCGAAAGGGAUUAGAUACCCCUGUAGUCUUAGCCGUAAACGAUGGAUACUAGGCGUGGUUUGUAUCGACCCAAGCCGUGCCGAAGCUAACGCGUUAAGUAUCCCGCCUGGGGAGUACGCACGCAAGUGUGAAACUCAAAGGAAUGACGGGGGCCCGCACAAGCGGUGGAGGAUGUGGUUUAAUUCGAUGCAACGCGAAGAACCUUACCAGGGCUUGACAUCCCGCGAAUCUUGCUGAAAGGUGAGAGUGCCUUCGGGAGCGCGGAGACAGGUGGUGCAUGGCUGUCGUCAGCUCGUGUCGUGAGAUGUUGGGUUAAGUCCCGCAACGAGCGCA
rnacentral:rRNA from 1 species